rnacentral:rRNA from 1 species
AUGCACGUUGGCGGCGUGGAUUAGGCAUGCAAGUCGCGCGAGAACCCCGCAAGGGGGGACAGCGGCGAAAGGGACAGUAAUGUGUAGAUUAUCUGCCCUCAGGUCCGGGAUAGCUGCGGGAAACUGCAGGUAAUACCGGAUAACAUCUCCGGAUCAAAGGUGUGAUUCCGCCUGAGGAUGAGUCUGCAUCCUAUUAGCUAGUUGGUGGGGUAAUGGCCUACCAAGGCAUUGAUGGGUAGCAGGUGUGAGAGCACGACCUGCGUCAUUGGGACUGAGACACUGCCCAGACACCUACGGGUGGCUGCAGUCGAGAAUCUUCGGCAAUGGGCGCAAGCCUGACCGAGCGACGCCGCGUGUGGGAUGAAGGCCUUCGGGUUGUAAACCACUGUCAGAGGGGAUGAAAUGCAGGUGGGUGCUCCCAUCUGUUUGACAUAGCCUCAGAGGAAGGACGGGCUAAGUUCGUG